rnacentral:rRNA from 1 species
GACGAACGCUGGCGGCGUGCUUAACACAUGCAAGUCGAACGGAAAGGCCCUGCUUUUGUGGGGUGCUCGAGUGGCGAACUGGUGAGUAACACGUGAGUAACCUGCCCUCGACUUUGGGAUAACUUCAGGAAACUGGGGCUAAUACCGGAUAGGAGCUCCUGCUGCAUGGUGGGGGUUGGAAAGUUUCGGCGGUUGGGGAUGGACUCGCGGCUUAUCAGCUUGUUGGUGGGGUAGUGGCUUACCAAGGCUUUGACGGGUAGCCGGCCUGAGAGGGUGACCGGCCACAUUGGGACUGAGAUACGGCCCAGACUCCUACGGGAGGCAGCAGUGGGGAAUAUUGCACAAUGGGCGGAAGCCUGAUGCAGCAACGCCGCGUGCGGGAUGACGGCCUUCGGGUUGUAAACCGCUUUCGCCUGUGACGAAGCGUGAGUGACGGUAAUGGGUAAAGAAGCACCGGCUAACUACGUG